AUUGAUUUCAUCUUUUUUUUACUUGUUUCUAACUAAGAUAUUAAGUAUUAUGAAAAUUUUGAAUUGAUAUCAAUAGUAUGAUCAUUAUUUGUUAAGAUUCUAUUUUGCUAUGGAAUUAUUUAAGAAUUUGUUUAAGAUCUAAGAUUUUAUUAGGAUUUGGUUUAGGAUUUGGUCUUGGAUUUGAUUAGGAUUAGGAUUUAUUUGGGAUUUGAUUUAAAAUAUUUAAAAUAUUUAUUUGGGAUUUAAGAUUUUAUUAGGAUUUGAUUUAAGAUUUAAUUAAGGUUUAAUUAGAGUUUCAAUUAGAAAUUGAUUUAGAAUUUUAUUGAGAUUCAAUUAAGAUUUUAAUUAUGGU
rnacentral:lncRNA from 1 species